rnacentral:rRNA from 1 species
GAUGAACGCUGGCGGCGUGCCUAAUACAUGCAAGUCGAGCGAACAGAUGAGGAGCUUGCUCCUCUGACGUUAGCGGCGGACGGGUGAGUAACACGUGUAUAACCUACCUAUAAGACUGGGAUAACUUCGGGAAACCGGAGCUAAUACCGGAUAAUAUAUUGAACCGCAUGGUUCAAUAGUGAAAGACGGUUUUGCUGUCACUUAUAGAUGGAUCCGCGCCGCAUUAGCUAGUUGGUAAGGUAACGGCUUACCAAGGCAACGAUGCGUAGCCGACCUGAGAGGGUGAUCGGCCACCUUAGAACUGAGACACGGACCAGACUACUACGGGAGGCAGCAGUAUGGAAUCUUCCGCAAUGGGCGAAAACCUGACGGAGCAACGCCGCGUGAGUGAUGGAGGUCUUCGGAUCGUAAAACUCUGUUAUUAGGGAAGAACAAAUGUGUAAGUAACUAUGCACGUCUUGACGGUACCUAAUCAGAAAGCAACGGCUAACUACGUG